AUGGGGAAGCGGGACAAUCGGGUGGCCUAUAUGAACCCAAUAGCAAUGGCGAGAUCAAGGGGUCCAGUCCAGUCGUCAGGGCCAACAAUACAGGAUUAUCUGAAUCAACCAAGGCCUACCUGAACUGGAAGAAAGAACUGGAAAAACACAGGGAGAAAUUGUUAAGUGAAAGUGAGAGCUCAUCCAAACAAAGAAAGAAAAAAGAAAAGAAGAAAUCUGGUAGGUUCUUCUGAUUCUGAAGAUGAGGAUAAGAAACAAGGAAAACGGAGAAAGAAAAAGAAGAACCGUGCACAUAAAUCUUCUGAAAGCUCCAUGUCAGAAACUGAAUCAGACAGUAAGGAUAGUUUAAAAAAGAAAAAGAAGUCAAAAGAUGGAACUGAGAAAGAAAAGGAUAUUAAAGGACUCAGCAAAAAAAGAAAGAUGUAUUCUGAAGAUAAACCUUUAUCAUCUGAGUCCUUGUCAGAAUCAGAGUAUAUUGAGGAGGUGUGAGCAAAAAAGAAGAAAAGCAGUGAAGAACGAGAAAAAGCAACAGAAAAAAAAAAAAAAAAAAAAAAAACAAGAAAAAGAAGCAUAAGAAACACAGUAAGAAGAAGAAAAAGAAGGCUGCUAGUUCAAGUCCUGACUCUCCAUAACAUUAAGAAAAAUCAGGUUUCCCUUAUAAAGAAAGUGCAAUGUCUGAGGAAAUUUCAACUGUGAAAACUACAACAUAUUUACUAAAAUGCAUGAAUUUUCUUGUUUUUAGAAUUAUUCCUGGACUAUUCAGUAGCCAGUCAGAUGCCACUGUGUGAAAGGGCCAUAAAUAUUGCCUGCUGCUUGAACAUCUAUUUUUUUCUCUUCCAGUGCUUGAUAACUCUGGGAGAUAAUACACUGCAGUCGUACUAGUGGUUAAGAUAUUUGGGAAUAAAAUUAAUACUUUUGACUAGAAGUGUCUAAGGAUAACCAACAGAAAUUGAAUCUGGAUACAUCUUUAAGAUGUAAUCAGAAAUGACCAGAUGACUCUAGUUAAAAUUUUUGAAGGAGGGAUUACAUUAAUAUUUCAAAAUCCUUACUCUGUAGAUAAGUGUAUUUUAAUUUUUUCCCCUCAUAUACUUUUAUUUACCUGGGGAAGGAGCUUUUAGGGUUGGGGGGAGCGGUUUGCUAUCUCUUUAGCUAGCAGAAUAGUGUGCCUUUGAUCCUCAUACAUCCUGUAUUAUGGACACAGUAGCCAUGCUUCACGGGGAGGUCAGAGCUGGCUACCAGCAGUCUUGCCCUUUACUGAGCUUAGUGUUAUCCUUGGAUGCUGUCAUAUGCUGCUUCGAGUGAACCAGAGAAACAGUCAUUUGCAGCAUGAG